rnacentral:rRNA from 1 species
AGAAUCAACGCUGGCGGCGUGCCUAACACAUGCAAGUCGCACGAGAAAGGGGACUUCGGUUCCUGAGUACAGUGGCGCACGGGUGAGUAACACGUGAAUAAUCUACCUCCGAGUGGGGAAUAACUGAGAGAAAUCUUAGCUAAUACCGCAUAACACUUACGAGUCAAAGCAGCAAUGCGCUUGGAGAGGAGUUCGCGGCAGAUUAGUUAGUUGGCGGGGUAAUGGCCCACCAAGACGAUGAUCUGUAUCCGGCCUGAGAGGGCGCACGGACACACUGGAACUGAAACACGGUCCAGACUCCUACGGGAGGCAGCAGUGGGGAAUUUUGCGCAAUGGGGGAAACCCUGACGCAGCAACGCCGCGUGGAGGAUGAAAUCCCUUGGGAUGUAAACUCUUUCGAUCGGGAAGAUAAAUGACGGUACCGGGAGAAGAAGCCCGGCUAACUUCGUGCCAGCAGCCGC